rnacentral:sRNA from 1 species
UUUAAUUUUACUUUUUAUUUAAUUUUUGAAAUUGUGAUUUUGCUUCUACUUUGGGCGCGUUUAUUAUCGCUCGCUUAGCAUUUGGCGCGUUUCUGGCCGCGAUUCGAACAGCAGCUGCGCCUCAAUCAGCUGUUAAAGCUCUGUUAAUGUUAAGACGCUUGGCGGCUUUUGUAAAACGAAACUGUUAUUAACAUUGCGUUGUAUUGUUUACAUAACAGAGCUGUCCUGUUGUUGUUGUUGUUGUUGCUGUUGUUGGUGUUGAUGUGUUUGCUGUUGUUGUUUUCGCUAGACCACCAGCGUCAACUUUUGGCAUGUUUAUAAGGAGCUGUGUGUGUGUGUGUGUACGUAUGUGUGCAUGGGCUUACCCAUAAAAGUUUUAAUUAAAAAUAAAAGUGUUGCAGCUCUUGUUUAUACGACUCGAAUUCCCUACAAAGCUGCUCGAACGGUAGCCUGUGCAAAUAUUUUCGCUACACUUGGCCGCAUGUGUCGCCUCUUAUUAUUAUUAUUGUUUUUUUUUUUUUUUUUUAUUUUUAUUUUGGCUUAUUGUAGCAUAAACAAAGCAAUGAGCCAGGCAAAACUGCGAACUGGACAAAUUUCUGUUGCGUCUUGUCGCCAGUUAAAGUCCCUGCGGCACAAAGAUCGGAAGUUCUUCUGGCAGAAGCGUGGCAGCUACCAGCGGCAGGAAAUGCAGAUGGACAUGGAUACGGAAAGAAAGCUUAAGAGAUCUUAAACGAGGUCAACACGAACACAAACACAAACACAAAUACACAUGCAACAAUUGGCCAAGAUAUUAGAAGACAGACACACACACACGCGCACGCAGGAGCACGAACCAAAAUACGCUCAACUUGUCAGACGAUACAACAACCGAAACGGGGCACGCGCGUUUGCAUAAUGACUUGAGUCGGGUUUAGUUUUAUGCCAAUUGCAGUUGACGCUUUUCGCGCUGCCAACGUCGCUGCUUCCCGAUGUUGUUGUUGCUGUCGCAGCUCUGGCCAGCAAAAUAGUCUGGGCAAAAAAUCUCAAGAUGCGCUGUCAGUUGGCAGCGCAUGCAUUCAAAUAUCAGCAGACACACUUACAUACAAUUACUUCAUAUAUUGUACAUAAUCGUGCUAAAACAACAACACCAGAAGAAGAAGAACGGCUACAAUAUUUGACAGCAAACAAAACAGAAAACACUUUCAAAUAAUAAACACAUAUUUAGCUCACAUCAGAUCA